GUGACAGAAGAGAGUGAGCACACAUGGGUUUUCUUGCAAAAUAAUUAUUUAGCCUCAUGUAUGCUUCAAACUAUGUGUGCUCACCCUCUAUCUGUCACCCCCCUCCUCUUUCUCUCUCUAGUUAUGUACAUGUGUGUCUCUUAUCUUCUACUGCCUAUGUAUAUGAUGGGAAGAUGCAAAGGUAAAAGGGUGGUGACAGAAGAGAGUGAGCACACAUGGAUUUUCUUGCAAAAUAAUCAAUUUAGCCUCAUGUAUGCUUGAAACUAUGUGUGCUCACCCUCUAUCUGUCACCCCCUCCUCUUUCUCUCUCUAGUUAUGUACAUGUGUGUCUCUAAUCUACUAAUGUGUAAAUUUAUAUGUCAUGUAUUUUAAGGGUAAGAUUGUAAGGGAAGGAGUCGUGACAGAAGAGAGUGAGCACAGAUGGGCUUUCUUGCAUGAUAUUAGAUGGAGAUAUAGCAAAUACAAGGUUUCGUAUGCUUGAAGCCAUGUGUGCUCACUCUCUAUCUGUCAUCCACCACUCUUAUUAAUCUUACUCUUAAGAUCAUGUGUUUUGGAUGGUGUGUGUUACUAAUUUGGAUACUAGAGGAAAACUAAAUAUGUCUUAUUCUAGUUGCUGGCAUGCUUAAACUCUGUGUACUUAGUAUUUGCCAUGCACAUCUGUCUCUCUACUUAUGUACAUGUGUACCCUAGUUUUAAAAGUAGUGUAAUUUAUGGGUAAGACUACAAGGGAUGGAGUGGUGACAGAAGAGAGUGAGCACAGAUGGGUUUUAUUGCAUGAUAUUAGAUGGAGAUAGCUACUACACACAAGGUUUCAUAUGCUUGAAGUCAUGUGUGCUCACUCUCUAUCUGUCAU
rnacentral:lncRNA from 1 species